GCCUGGGAUAAGAAAAUCCUUAGUUUUUCGUAAAAUUCAAAGUUUUGUAAACAGGAAAUUUAUAAAAAUGACCACAUUAUUGAUAUUCAUGUCAACACCGAAGUGUUGACUACUGGGCUGGUGAUACCCUCGGGGACGAAACGUCCACCAGCAGUGGCAUCGACCCAGUGGUGUAAAUAGUUAUGAAAGGUACCAGGAUUAUAAUU
rnacentral:lncRNA from 1 species